rnacentral:piRNA from 1 species
UAAGAGGUUGCCUGAACAAGAGGAG